CUGGAAAGCCUUUGCGGCAUGGGAUGGGGUCGCGUCCUAUCAGCUUGAUGGCGGGGUAACGGCCCACCAUGGCUUCGACGGGUAGCCGGCCUGAGAGGGCGACCGGCCACAUUGGGACUGAGAUACGGCCCAGACUCCUACGGGAGGCAGCAGUGGGGAAUAUUGCACAAUGGGCGCAAGCCUGAUGCAGCGACGCCGCGUGAGGGAUGGAGGCCUUCGGGUUGUAAACCUCUUUUGUUAGGGAGCAAGGCAUUUUGUGUUGAGUGUACCUUUCGAAUAAGCACCGGCUAACUACGUGCCAGCAGCCGCGGUAAUACGUAGGGUGCAAGCGUUAUCCGGAAUUAUUGGGCGUAAAGGGCUCGUAGGCGGUUCGUCGCGUCCGGUGUGAAAGUCCAUCGCUUAACGGUGGAUCCGCGCCGGGUACGGGCGGGCUUGAGUGCGGUAGGGGAGACUGGAAUUCCCGGUGUAACGGUGGAAUGUGUAGAUAU
rnacentral:rRNA from 1 species